GAUUAAAACUACAAAGGAAUUGACGGGACCGCACAAGCGGUGGAUGAUGUGGAUUAAUUCGAUGCAACGCGAAAACCUUACCUACCCUUGACAUGUCAGGAAGUCUGCUGAGAGGUGGAUGUGCCCGAAAGGGAACCUGAACACAGGUGCUGCAUGGCUGUCGUCAGCUCGUGUCGUGAGAUGUUGGGUUAAGUCCCGCAACGAGCGCAACCCUUGUCAUUAAUUGCCAUCAUUCAGUUGGGCACUUUAAUGAGACUGCCGGUGACAAACCGGAGGAAGGUGGGGAUGACGUCAAGUCCUCAUGGCCCUUAUGGGUAGGGCUUCACACGUCAUACAAUGGUCGGUACAGAGGGUUGCCAACCCGCGAGGGGGAGCCAAUCCCACAAAAGCCGAUCGUAGUCCGGAUCGCAGUCUGCAACUCGACUGCGUGAAGUCGGAAUCGCUAGUAAUCGUGGAUCAGCAUGUCACGGUGAAUACGUUCCCGGGUCUUGUACACACCGA
rnacentral:rRNA from 1 species